UGCUAUGUAGAGGUCAAGAAGAAGUGAUAGGUAUUGUUUAGUUCAUCAAUUUGCUCGGCUGGAGACAAAACCGAGAGAGGGAAAACACUUUGAUGGAAAUUUUGGAAGGAAAAAGAGCAACUCAAGUCUUGUGUGGAAAUAGGAAGAAGUGAACUCAAGAGAUUCAACCAUGGAAGGCUUAAGGUCACGCGCCAUUGUCUGCCUGAUUUAUCGGAUAUGUCAAGUCUGUCUGAUUUGCUUCUGCAGCCAUCUGUGAUCAGGCGCGUGACCAAGCUUAGAGGCAUCUGUCUAGAAUCUGUUUUGUCAGCCAACCUAUGUGCCUCCCGUGGAGGUUCCGGAUAUAGGCCUUCGGUAAUCUCAGGAUUACUGGCCGGUUACGAUGCUAAACCUAUAGGGGUGGGUUUGGGUCGUGGCAAGAUGAACCUCCCAGAAGCAACAAUCAACAAGAUGGAAGACAACAACUUGGGGCUGUUGUUAGAGUCAGGGACAGAAGUAAUUCACCAAGUUGACACAAUCUGGUGGAUAGAGCAAAUAAAGCUGAGAAUCGAACCAGGGUGGAGCAAAACAACCAUACAUCCACUCCACUCCCUGAAAAUGGCAUCCAUGCGGUCGAUAGACCAAGACCAUCGUAGGAUCCGUAGCCUCUUACCAGGUAUUAUAGCUGAUCCUCUACCAUCAUUUCCAUCCAUGGACUCGCUCAAAAUCUUGAUUUGGAACUGCUGCGGGGCUGGUAACAAUACCUUUCGACGCAACAUGCGUGAGCUCCUUCAAACCCACAGACCUGGGAUUAUUGUUCUCUUGGAAACAAAAGUCAUGUUUAGUUCCAUGGGAAAUUUCUUCAGCAACAUGGGUUUUUUCGCAGCUACUAUUGUUGACCCAGUGGGACGAUCAUGUGGAAUUUGGUUAAUCUGGGACACUGACCAAGCUAACGUUCAUGCAUUUGUUGUUACUAAUCAAUACAUACAAGCCACGGUUCAUAAAGAGGACUACGAGGAAUGGGUUUUCAACGCGGUGUAUGCCAGCCUUAACCCCUCUCUGAGGGAGGCUCUUUGGGAGGAGUUGGAAGACACAGCGAGGAACUUAAACAAGCCUUGGCUUAUAGCCGGAGAUUUCAAUGACUACGUUAACCAGAGUGAGAGGAGAAGCUUCCCACACACCCCUAAUCAGAACAGAAUACUGAGGUUUAUGGAAAGGAUCAAUAAUUGCAAUCUUAUUGAUUUAGAAAGUGUUGGUCCCCGUCUCACAUGAACAAACAACCGUCAAGGCCUAGCUAACUCUAUGGAGAGGUUGGAUCGAGCUAUGAGCAAUGAUCAAUGGCGAGCCCUUUUUCCUGAAGGAACUGUGAGGACUCUCCCGCGAACCUACUCGGAUCAUUCUCCACUGAUAGUAUACACUCAAGGUAAACUCAAACUAAACAUGGAUGGAAGCUCCAGAGGAGACCCAGGCCAGUCUGGAUUUGGAGGGCUGUUCCGAGAUGAAGUUGGAACCUGGGUGUGGGGGUACUUCGGCUAUUUAGGAAGUUGCACAAGUUUGGAAUCCGAGCUGUGGAGAAUUUACAGAGUGCUGACCAUCAUCAUGCAGAAGGGAUUGACCAACAUUGACAUUGAGACCGACUCACAGACAGCUAUAGAGUUAUUCCGAGAUGGAUCUGCAGCAAACUCUCCCUAUCGAGCACUCAUUGAGGAUGCUAAUUUCCUCCUACGGCGCUGCCAAUGCACACUUAAAGCCAUCCCUAGAGAAGCUAAUCAGAGUGUUGAUGCUCUGGCUAACUUAGGUGUAAACCAACAUGACCACACUGUCUUUCUAGAGGAUCCUCUAAGUUCCAUUCUCUCUUUUUUGAUCACUGAUAUGAGCACUGUUAGCUCUAGUAGGGAUUGAUGUAUCCCAGGAAUGUGGUAGUAAACUCUUCUUUGUUGAACUUUUAUCUUCCGCAAGAAUCAAAAAAAGAAAAGAAAAGAGAAUUCACUC